rnacentral:lncRNA from 1 species
CUGUUUAAUCUGUUCUGUUAACUCCUAGACUCGACCCUGGAAAGCUGUAGGUGUGCACACAGGAAUGCAGUUGGCAUUUCUUCCCAUUCAGCAUUGCUUUUCCCUUGUUUUCCUUACCUCCAAAGAGUCACAUGUUUACCAGGAGUGAGAAUGAGCCAUGUUGACUUCCGUCUACCUUAAGACUCAGCUUACAGAAAAGAGAGCGCCUCUUCUGUUUGGAUAUUUUUCUUCUUAGGGAGAGGCUCGGAAACCUCUAACAAAGAUCUUAGAUGGCAUAGACCAGUGUUGCUGAGAGACAGAGGCAGACAGACAGACAGACAAGGCCUUGGUAUGUGCUAUGUCUUAAAAGGGUUCACAAGCACGCUGAUAAGAGAUUUUUCCCUCCGGCAAAGCUAGGCUUGUAUGCCCACAACAGAAUUUUACAACAGGUGACCUUGAGGCUGCAGUGUGGGUGGGAGCUGAGGGGAGGAGUGUCCUUGGCUUAGCAAUAUGUGAUAGUGUAGAGCAGUUAACCUUUUAGGCCUAAAGACUGUGUAUUCCGUACCUUCAAGAGUUUAUUACAACUUUAUGAAAUAUUUGUAAAAAUUUCUUUGGCAGAAAUGAUUUUCAUUUAUAAUUUCAUGGAAAACUGCUUUAGACUAAGUGAAAUGUAGUUAUAGCAGUGUAAAUAUGUAUAAUUUCCUAAUUUCACUGUGAGAUCUCAGACUUUUGAGUGGCAAACAGUUCACCAAGUCGUUUGCUGAUGGACUUGUCUGUGGGGUUAGUAAGAUGUAAAAGCUUUAUUUUUUUAAUAGCAACACGUUGUGGUAAUGCUUGGUGGUGGUGUGGGGCCGUUCCUCCACUGCCCUUGUUGGUUUUGCUUCAGUCUGUGAGGGCCUGCGAUCUUCAGACCCAGCAGGGCUCGUCGGUCCCUUGCUUGGCUGCCUUUCUUUGUCUAGAACUGUUGCUAAUCACCACAUGAACUGUUAGGCUUUCUGCUCUGUCGUUGCUGUUCUUUUCCUUUUUUGACAAGAUGGAUAUCAAAAAUAGUUGCUGUGCAAAAGUUAGUAAUCUUCUUCAAGAAGAAAACAAUUCCUUUUCUAAUAAUAUCCUGUGAAAUUGCUUCAUUCAUUCCUUUAUUUUAAAGCCAAAUGUCAGCAGAAUACUGCUGUUUUUAUCUAAAUGAUUUUCAUAUGUAAGUAUUAAUGCAUUUGAAAAGAUGUCUCUUGAGAAAUAUUUUCCCCAGUGCACUGUCUGUGAAAGCUUUGUUCCCAUUUCUGGCUAAGACCCCAGUCAGUACCUGGGGCUGUGCAUUAUGUACACGUAUGACUUUAGUCUGGUAUUGUUGUACACCAAGUCUGGUUAUGAUAGAGUAGUUCAACAUUAAUUUGUUGUCAGUUAAUUUUUAAUUAUUUCCAGUUUACUCUCUGUUGUCCUCAGACUCUCGUUUUCAAGUUCCACUAAUCAGGUGCAUUUCAUUGUAUCAGGCUUUAGUUUCAAAGAAAUUAGGAUUUGGUGUAAGCCAGCUGACUUCCAUCUUGAAAGAAAAACAGUUAAAACUGUAGAUUUAAAAUUGUUAAUUAUCCGCGACAAUUUUACCUUGCCUAUACUGUAUACAACUGAUUUCUAAAACUGUAGACAUGUAUAAUCUUGGUUUACUGUGUUAAGUGUUGCUGUUUAUUAAAUGGGGAGAAAACUGAAGCAAAUCUGCUUAAAGAGCUGUCCGUUUUUAUUGCUGACUACAAACCUCUCUGUUCCUUGUGUACACGUGUUAUUUUGCCAGCUGCUGCACUAGCCUUCAGAAGUAUUUGAAAAUUUAAGAUGAAUAUAUUUCUUGCAAAGUCCGUUCCUUUCUGUGGUAUUUUGUCCUGUAACUGAAGUGUAGUAAUUAUUUUAUGGAAAUGUUAGAACUUCUGUACCAACUUUGAAUAAAAUGAAAAAUUUACACUUCUGUG